rnacentral:lncRNA from 1 species
CGGCGGUAGUUGUGCUGCGUGCAUGAGCUAUACGCCCCGGUUAAAGAUAAAUGAACUGUGCAUAUGGGUCUCGUACCCUGGAAAAGAGUUGGCUAGCGGUGCCAUGGCCGCGUAACACGCAUGGCCUUGUACCCCGAUAAAGAUGUGAAAGGGCAUCAAAUGUGCCCAGGUAAAAUUCGGGUUUGGAUGUGAUUUGGCUCCAUCCCGCGGUUGAAAUUUGGG